CACACUGGGAUUGAGAACGGCCCAGACUCCUACGGGGGGCAGCAGUGAGGAAUUUUCGGCAAUGGGGGCAACCCUGACCGAGCAACGCCGCGUGCAGGAGGACGGCCUUCGGGUUGUAAACUGCUUUUCUCUGGGACGAGCAAGGGACGGUACCAGAGGAAGAAGCCCCGGCUAACUACGUGCCAGCCGCCGCCGUAAGAC
rnacentral:rRNA from 1 species